CCUACGGGAGGCAGCAGUGAGGAAUAUUGGUCAAUGGACGCAAGUCUGAACCAGCCAAGCCGCGUGAAGGAAGAAGGCUCUAUGGUUCGUAAACUUCUUUUAUAAGGGAAUAAAGUGUACGACGUGUCUUGAGUUGUAUGUACCUUACGAAUAAGGAUCGGCUAACUCCGUGCCAGCAGCCGCGGUAAUACGGAGGAUCCAAGCGUUAUCCGGAUUUAUUGGGUUUAAAGGGUGCGUAGGCGGACUGAUAAGUUAGCGGUGAAAGGCCGGGGCUUAACCCGGGAAUUGCCUUUGAAACUGUUGAUCUUGAGGAUGUGUGCGGCAGGCGGAAUGCGUGGUGUAGCGGUGAAAUGCUUAGAUAUCACGCAGAACACCGAUUGCGAAGGCAGAUUACCAAGCCAUAACUGACGGUGAGGCACGAAAGCGUGGGGAGCAAACAGGAUUAGAUACCCGUGUAGUC
rnacentral:rRNA from 1 species